rnacentral:rRNA from 1 species
CACGUAGUUAGCCGGGGCUUCUUAGUCAGGUACCGUCAUUCUCUUCCCUGCUGAUAGAGCUUUACAUACCGAAAUACUUCUUCACUCACGCGGCGUUGCUGCAUCAGGGUUUCCCCCAUUGUGCAAUAUUCCCCACUGCUGCCUCCCGUAGGAGUUUGGGCCGUGUCUCAGUCCCAAUGUGGCCAGCCACCCUCUCAGGUCGGCUACUGAUCGUCGCCUUGGUGGGCCGUUACCCCCGCAACCAGCUAAUCAGACGCGGGUCCAUCUCAUACCACCUCGGUUUUUCACACUGGACCAUGCAGUCCCGUGCGCUUAUGCGGUAUUAGCAGUCAUUUCUAACUGUUAUCCCCCUGUAUGAGGCAGGUUACCCACGCGUUACUCACCCGUCCGCCGCUAAGUCAGCAAAGCUUCUUUCCGAAGAAUCCACUUUACCGCUUCGCUCGACUUGCAUGUGUUAAGCACGCCGCCAGCGUUCACUCCUGAGCCAGGAUCAAACUCUACG